GUCGUCGGAUUCGCCAGGAAGGUGUAGGGCCGUGGUAUUCCUCUUACACUUUUCGUACAUUCGAGUUUAACUCAGAUCCGUUUAACUCGUCGAAACUAAAUGGACGAAAAGAUCGCCGAAGAGUAGUAAAUUUGUUUGUAUUCAUUUCGUUUUUCUUCUUUUUAUUUUUUUUUUUUUUUUUUGCUUUUUUUUUCUUUACGAUAGUGGUGCCCGGUGAAAGUGGGGAAAGAAUUUAGUCAGCAGUUAAUCCGAAUUGUCGAAGUUCCGUCGGAUGAUUACGGUGUCGCGAGCACGCAUUUGAGAAUCUCCCGAUAGAGAUUUUCUUUUCAAAGCCAACGAGAAUCGUGGGACUCUUUCGUGAUCGAUGAGAGUGAUCUCGAUGAGUUAUCAGCUUCUCCUUCUUAUUAUUUCUUUUUGGAGUGAUCCUAGAAAAUAACAACGGAAAGGAGAGAACUAGUCGUACGAAGGAAAAGACAGAAGAAGAAGAAGAAGAAGAAGAAAAAAAAGAA